rnacentral:rRNA from 1 species
UACGGAGGGUGCAAGCGUUAAUCGGAAUCACUGGGCGUAAAGCGCGCGUAGGCGGCUUUGUAAGUCAGGUGUGAAAGCCCACGGCUCAACCGUGGAAUUGCACUUGAUACUGCAUCGCUAGAGUUCGGGAGAGGGUGGUGGAAUUCCAGGUGUAGGAGUGAAAUCCGUAGAGAUCUGGAGGAACAUCGGUGGCGAAGGCGACCACCUGGACCGAUACUGACACUGAGGUGCGAAAGCGUGGGUAGCGAACAGG